GUUUUAUUCCCCUCCUGAAUCCGAAGCAGGAUCUGAAGAAGCUGAAGAAAAACAGGACAGUGAGAAACCACUUUUAGAACUAUGAGUACUACUUUUUGUGAAAAACCCUCACAGAAAGUCAUCGAGGCAAAAAGAGGCAGGCAGUGGAGUCUCCCUGUCGACAGUAAAGUUGAAAUGGUGACGUCCACUGCUGGCUUUAUUGAACAGCUAAUAAAGAUUUAUUUAUUGUAAUACCUCACAGACGUUGUACCAUAUCCAUGCACAUUUAGUUGCCUGCCUGUGGCUGGUAAGGUAAUGUCAUGAUUCAUCCUCUCUUCAGUGAGACUGAGCCUGAUGUGUUAACAAAUAGGUGAAGAAAGUCUUGUGCUGUAUUCCUAAUCAAAAGACUUAAUAUAUUGAAGUAACACUUUUUUAGUAAGCAAGAUACCUUUUUAUUUCAAUUCACAGAAUGGAAUUUUUUUGUUUCAUGUCUCAGAUUUAUUUUGUAUUUCUUUUUUAACACUCUACAUUUCCCUUGUUUUUUAACUCAUGCACAUGUGCUCUUUGUACAGUUUUAAAAAGUGUAAUAAAAUCUGACAUGUCAAUGUGGCUAGUUUUAUUUUUCUUGUUUUGCAUUAUGUGUAUGGCCUGAAGUGUUGGACUUGCAAAAGGGGAAGAAAGGAAUUGCGAAUACAUGUAAAAUGUCACCAGACAUUUGUAUUAUUUUUAUCAUGAAAUCAUGUUUUUCUCUGAUUGUUCUGAAAUGUUCUAAAUACUCUUAUUUUGAAUGCACAAAAUGACUUAAACCAUUCAUAUCAUGUUUCCUUUGCGUUCAGCCAAUUUCAAUUAAAAUGAAC
rnacentral:lncRNA from 1 species